AUUGAACGCUGGCGGCAGGCCUAACACAUGCAAGUCGAGCGAGCGGCGGACGGGUGAGUAAUGUCUGGGAAACUGCCUGAUGGAGGGGGAUCACUACUGGAAACGGUAGCUAAUACCGCAUACCAUCAGAUGUGCCCAUAUGGGAUUAGCUAGUAGGUGGGGUAACGGCUCCCCUAGGCGACGAUCCCUAGCUGGUCUGAGAGGAUGAACAGCCACAAUGGAACUGGGAAACGGUCCAGACUCCCACGGGAGGCAGCAGUGGGGAAUAUUGCACAAUGGGCGCAAGCCUGAUGCAGCCAUGCCGCGUGUAUGAAGAAGGCCUUAGGGUUGUAAAGUACUUUCAGCGGGGAGGCGUUACCCGCAGAAGAAGCACCGGCUAAAUCCGGGCCAGCAGCCGAGGUAAUUC
rnacentral:rRNA from 1 species